CUUGUCUUUAGAGGAACUAAAAGUCGUAACAAGGUAACCGUAGGUGAACCUGCGGUUGGAUCAUUAAUAAUGAUAGCUCUAUGGUUUGUAGUGGUCUUCGUGAUCCUCGCUAUAGAGUCAACUACACCUGUGCACUGUAAUAGUAUUUGGGUCUGAGCUUGCUUAGGCCCAGUGGUAAGCAUCCUAUGGAUGCCUAUAAACAACUUUUUUUUGACUGACUUUUGUUUCUAAGGAAUCAAAUACAACUUUUAACAACGGAUCUCUUGGCUCAC
rnacentral:misc_RNA from 1 species